AUGUUCUAUUAAUUGCGUUUAUUAUAAGAUAUAUGUAUUAACCUACGUAUCAUUAGUAGAUAGUCUAUUGUGUGAAUGAGUAGGCGUAGGCCAAUGGUAUCUAGGCAUGCGCACUAACGGCGUGUCUAUUGGUCAGGAGGUCAUAACACUGGGGGUAGGUGUGUCGGGUAUUCUGUGGAUCACCUAUAGGGGAUACAUAUCGAACCAGUGCAGAAUGAAGAUAACCCUGAUCCUCCAAACACCCUGAUCCUCCAAACACCCUGAUCCUCCAAACGUCUGAGCGCUAGGCUAAGCUAGUAGACUCGUCAUAGCGGCUGCAGAAGAAAGGAGAAGAAAGAAAAACAGCUACUACAACCUGCACAACUAUGCCUACUGACUCAGGUGCUGAUAUUCGGUUGAAUAAUCAAAGAUCGAUACUCGGUGAUCGGACCAAUGUGGGGUCCAGCAGUAGUUAUGUGCCUAUCGUGGAUGGUGUGAAACAGUGGACCCCUGGAUCAAACCGUCUAACCAAGAAAAAUAACAAAAGACCCCAUCUAGGACCGGCUCUACCUCUACCCAGCUCUCCGCUAGCAGUGGUGCAACAGCAGAUCCCGUAUAAAAAGGGACGCAAGGACACCGCACAUAGUGUUUUAACUCCAGAGAAUCUUAACUUGGUUCUCCAUGCUGUUAUAAACCCUGAAAUCGCCCGCCAAGGGGGUGGAUGGUCUGAGUCCAAACAGCCGUUGAUUGAGACAUCAGUUGUACCUGUGUCUGAGCCGCCUGCAGAGACCGUUACUGUACAGCCGGAUGGAGGCAUUCAGCAUGUCCUUGGAGACCCUCAGGAUGCACCACUACCAGAACUGACCGAUGAGGAUCUCGAGGGUCUUACCGACGUUCCGUUGUGGCCCUCAGCGCUGUUGGAACAGCUCGACUUCACUCCCGCUCAUUGGAUAGACCCUCCAGCUACUUCCGUAGUGGGUACCACCAGGGCAGAGCCUGUAAACCAUCAGCCUGCAGCCCCCGCCUCUGGAUCACGACCCAUCCUCAUCCAGGCCUCUAUCCACAAUCCACCAGGCACUGUGAGUCGUCCCACCGCCAUCGGAGCAGUGGCUAGGCUGCUACCCGACGGCUCAGCGGCUGCUGCUGAAUACAUUGCGGGUGGUCCAUGUACCAACUGUUGUAAGGCUUGUGUUGGUAAAUUAACCUUGGUAACUAAAGCAGUUGAUGUAAACUCCUUAACCAUUGGUCGUCAGUGUAAACUGGGUGCAUUGUCUGUGAAACGUAUUGACAGCAGAUUUCAGACUAUCGAAGAGCAAACUAAGCAGUCACUCGAGACCCUCGGGGAAAUCAAGGACGAGCUAGUGCGUUACGGUCUGGCUAUAGAAUCAAUACAGCAGCAGAUUUUGGUUGUCGAGGCAGCAGUGCGUGUUAACACUCUGGCUUUGGAUAGUGGGCUUCUGAUAUCUAAUAUGGCGCGGAAAAUUUGGCUAAUUGAAACUAGGGCGCAGGAUAACAUCAGGGCCUACAAGGCCAUGUCUGCCCAGAUGACUAUCAUGAAUGAUGCUCUGGAUAUGCUUACGAUGAAUCGUUAGUAUUUGAUUUGUGGUUUUGGGGUGUUCUUUUUAUUUUUAUUUUAUUUAUUUUUUUCUUUUCGUUUAUUAUGUGGAGAGGGUAUUUUUUUGUUUUAAACUGAACGUAAU
ensembl:lncRNA